AAAUUGAAGAGUUUGAUCAUGGCUCAGAUUGAACGCUGGCGGCAGGCCUAACACAUGCAAGUCGAACGGUAACAGGAAGCAGCUUGCUGCUUUGCUGACGAGUGGCGGACGGGUGAGUAAUGUCUGGGAAACUGCCUGAUGGAGGGGGAUAACUACUGGAAACGGUGGCUAAUACCGCAUAACGUCGCAAGACCAAAGAGGGGGACCUUCGGGUCUCUUGCCAUCAGAUGUGCCCAGAUGGGAUUAGCUUGUUGGUGAGGUAACGGCUCACCAAGGCGACGAUCCCUAGCUGGUCUGAGAGGAUGACCAGCCACACUGGAACUGAGACACGGUCCAGACUCCUACGGGAGGCAGCAGUGGGGAAUAUUGCACAAUGGGCGCAAGCCUGAUGCAGCCAUGCCGCGUGUAUGAAGAAGGCCUUCGGGUUGUAAAGUACUUUCAGCGGGGAGGAAGGUGUUG
rnacentral:rRNA from 1 species